GAUGAACGCUGGCGGCGUGCCUAAUACAUGCAAGUCGAGCGAACAGAUGAGGAGCUUGCUCCUCUGACGUUAGCGGCGGACGGGUGAGUAACACGUGGAUAACCUACCUAUAAGACUGGGAUAACUUCGGGAAACCGGAGCUAAUACCGGAUAAUAUAUUGAACCGCAUGGUUCAAUAGUGAAAGACGGUUUUGCUGUCACUUAUAGAUGGGUCCGCGCCGCAUUAGCUAGUUGGUAAGGUAACGGCUUACCAAGGCAACGAUGCGUAGCCGACCUGAGAGGGUGAUCGGCCACACUGGAACUGAGACACGGUCCAGACUCCUACGGGAGGCAGCAGUAGGGAAUCUUCCGCAAUGGGCGAAAGCCUGACGGAGCAACGCCGCGUGAGUGAUGAAGGUCUUCGGAUCGUAAAACUCUGUUAUUGGGGAAGAACAAAUGUGUAAGUAACUAUGCACGUCUUGACGGUACCUAAUCAGAAAGCCACGGCUAACUACGUG
rnacentral:rRNA from 1 species